CUACGAUGUGUUCUGUGACUCACUUUUCGCCACGAUGUUCCCAUAGAUACUGGUGAAAAGGCCUUAGUUAAUAACUCCAAAAGAAGCCGAAAUAGCUCAGUUGGGAGAGCGUUAGACUGAAGAUCUAAAGGUCCCUGGUUCAACCCCGGGUUUCGGCAUGCGAGGAACACAAACAGUUUCUUUGUUGCGAUUACUGUACUAUGAUGUGUCCUGUGACUCACUUUUAGCCACGAGAUCCCAUAGAUACUGGUGAAAAGGCCUUAGUUAAUAACUCCACAAGAAGCCGAAAUAGCUCAGUUGGGAGAGCGUUAGACUGAAGAUCUAAAGGUCCCUGGUUCGACCCCGGGUUUCGGCAUGUGAUUAACACAAAUAGUUUCUUUGUUGCGAUUACUGUACUACGAUGUGUCCUGUUUUGAGGGUUAAAGUAGUUAUAAAUAAAACAGAAAUGCAAAAUAAAUAUAUAUGUAUAUAUAUAAAUACAAAAUCAUAUAUUUCUAUUUAA